rnacentral:rRNA from 1 species
CAGCACCUCAAGUGGUCAGGAUGAUUAUUGGGCCUAAAGCAUCCGUAGCCGGCUCUGUAAGUUUUCGGUUAAAUCUGUACGCUCAACGUACAGGCUGCCGGGAAUACUGCAGAGCUAGGGAGUGGGAGAGGUAGACGGUACUCGGUAGGAAGGGGUAAAACCCUUUGAUCUAUUGAUGACCACCUGUGGCGAAGGCGGUCUACCAGAACACGUCCGACGGUGAGGGAUGAAAGCUGGGGGAGCAAACCGGAUUAGAUACCCGAGUAGUCC